rnacentral:rRNA from 1 species
UACGUAGGGUGCGAACGUUGUUCGGAAUCACUGGGCAUAAAGAGCGCGUAGGCGGUCUAAUAAGUCGGGUGUGAAAUCCCCGGGCUCAACCUGGGAACUGCAUCCGAGACUGCAUUGCUAGAGUAUGGGAGAGGGAAGCGGAAUUUCUGGUGUAGCAGUGAAAUGCGUAGAUAUCGGAAGGAACAUCAGUGGCGAAAGCGGCUUCCUGGACCAGCACCGACGUUCAGGCACGAAAGCGUGGGGAGCAAACAGG